rnacentral:rRNA from 1 species
UACGUAGGGUGCAAGCGUUGUCCGGAUUUAUUGGGCGUAAAGAGCGUGUAGGCGGCCAGGUAGGUCUGCUGUGAAAACUCGAGGCUCAACCUCGAGACGUCGGCGGAAACCAUCUGGCUAGAGUCCGGAAGAGGAGAGUGGAAUUCCUGGUAUAGCGGUGAAAUGCGCAGAUAUCAGGAAGAACACCCGUGGCGAAGGCGGCUCUCUGGGACGGUACUGACGCUGAGACGCGAAAGCGUGGGGAGCGAACAGG